CGGAUGUGCCCAGAUGGGAUUAGCUUGUUGGUGAGGUAACGGCUCACCAAGGCGACGAUCCCUAGCUGGUCUGAGAGGAUGACCAGCCACACUGGAACUGAGACACGGUCCAGACUCCUACGGGAGGCAGCAGUGGGGAAUAUUGCACAAUGGGCGCAAGCCUGAUGCAGCCAUGCCGCGUGUAUGAAGAAGGCCUUCGGGUUGUAAAGUACUUUCAGCGGGGAGGAAGGGGUUAAGGUUAAUAACCUUAGCCAUUGACGUUACCCGCAGAAGAAGCACCGGCUAACUCCGUGCCAGCAGCCGCGGUAAUACGGAGGGUGCAAGCGUUAAUCGGAAUUACUGGGCGUAAAGCGCACGCAGGCGGUCUGUCAAGUCGGAUGUGAAAUCCCCGGGCUCAACCUGGGAACUGCAUUCGAAACUGGCAGGCUUGAGUCUCGUAGAGGGGGGUAGAAUUCCAGGUGUAGCGGUGAAAUGCGUAGAGAUCUGGAGGAAUACCGGUGGC
rnacentral:rRNA from 1 species